rnacentral:rRNA from 1 species
GAUGAACGCUGGCGGCGUGCCUAAUACAUGCAAGUCGAGCGAACAGACGAGGAGCUUGCUCCUCUGACGUUAGCGGCGGACGGGUGAGUAACACGUGGAUAACCUACCUAUAAGACUGGGAUAACCUCGGGAAACCGGAGCUAAUACCGGAUAAUAUAUUGAACCGCAUGGUUCAAUAGUGAAAGACGGUUUUGCUGUCACUUAUAGAUGGAUCCGCGCCGCAUUAGCUAGUUGGUAAGGUAACGGCUUACCAAGGCAACGAUGCGUAGCCGACCUGAGAGGGUGAUCGGCCACACCGGAACUGAGACACGGUCCAGACUCCUACGGGAGGCAGCAGUAGGGAAUCUUCCGCGAUGGGCGAAAGCUUGACGGAGCAACGCCGCGUGAGUGAUGAAGGUCUUCGGAUCGUAAAACUCUGUUAUUAGGGAAGAACAAAUGUGUAAGUAACUAUGCACGUCUUGACGGUACCUAAUCAGAAAGCCACGGCUAACUACGUG